AGUGAACGCUGGCGGCAGGCCUAACACAUGCAAGUCGAACGGCAGCACAAGAGAGCUUGCUCUCUGGGUGGCGAGUGGCGGACGGGUGAGGAAUGCAUCGGAAUCUGCCCAUUUGUGGGGGAUAACCUCGGGAAACCGGGACUAAUACAGCAUACGACCUACGGGUGAAAGCGGGGGAUCUUCGGACCUUGCGCAGAUGGAUGAGCCGAUGCCGGAUUAGCUAGUUGGAGGGGUAAAGGCCCACCAAGGCGACGAUCCGUAGCUGGUCUGAGAGGAUGAUCAGCCACACUGGGACUGAGACACGGCCCAGACUCCUACGGGAGGCAGCAGUGGGGAAUAUUGGACAAUGGGCGCAAGCCUGAUCCAGCCAUGCCGCGUGUGUGAAGAAGGCCUUCGGGUUGUAAAGCACUUUUGUUGGGAAAGAAAAGCAGCCGGUUAAUACCCGGUUGUCAUGACGGUACCCAAAGAAUAAGCACCGGCUAACUUCGUG
rnacentral:rRNA from 1 species